rnacentral:rRNA from 1 species
GACGAACGUUGGCGGCGUGCUUAAUACAUGCAAGUCAACUGAAGCAGUGGUAGCAAUAUCGCUGUGGAGGUGGCGCACGGGUGAGUAACACGUAGGUAAUCUGCCUUCAGGUCUGGCAUAACUCCGGGAAACCGGGGCUAAUAGCAGAUGAUGCAGCGGCUCGACAUCGAGACAGUUGUUAAAGCUAUGGCGCCUGAAGAUGAGCCUGCGUCUGAUUAGCUAGUUGGCGGGGUAACGGCCCACCAAGGCAACGAUCAGUAGCUGGUCUGAGAGGAUGAUCAGGCACACUGGAACUGAGACACGGUCCAGACUCCUACGGGAGGCAGAAGUAAGGAAUAUUGCUCAAUGGGAGAAAUCCUGAAGCAGCAACGCCGCGUGAGGGACGAAGGGCUUUUGAUUGUAAACCUCUGUAGUGAGAGAAAAAAAUCCCAAUCUUUGGGACAUGAUGGUAUCUCAAAAGUAAGCCCCGGCUAACUACGUG